rnacentral:lncRNA from 1 species
UGAUCAAAAUAACAUUUUCAAGCUUAAAAACUACAUUAAGAUAAAGGUAUAAAAGGAGAGUAGAAGGAAAAUCUGAGUUCAAACAGAAGGAAUUAUGUGGUAAUUAGCACUGUUAAAGGGGAAAUUGUUCAUCCAUAUAUAAAAACACUUUUAUUAUGGAAAAUUUCAAACAUACACAAAAACAGAGAAUGAUAUAGUAAACCCCUACCACCUGGCUUUAACAAUUACUAGUAUUUUGCCAAUAUUAUUUCAUCUAUUCCUCCUUUGUUUUUUUGGCUGAAGUUUUAAAGGCAAAUUUUAGAUAUCUGUUUAUAAUAAAUCAUGUAUUUGCAAAGCAAAUGAUGAUAGGUAUCAAUUUAAUAUUGUACUUUGAGUUAAUCAGAAACAUUACAAAAGAGUAAUAUUUUUUAAUGUCAAUUUUUUUUUUUUUUUUUUUUUGAGACAGGGUCUCAUUCUGUUAUCCAGGCUGGAGUGCAGUGGUGCCAUCUUAGCUCAUUGAAAUCUCUGCCUCCUGGGUUCAAGCAAUUCUCCCACCUUAGCCUCCUGAGUAGCUGGGACUACAGUGCGCCUGGCUAAUUUUCUGUAGUUCUUAUCAAGACGGGGUUUCACCAUGUUGGCCAGGCUGGUGUCAAACUCCUGACCUCAGGUGAUCCACCAGCCUUGGCCUCCCAAAGUGCUGGGAUUACAGGCAUGAGCCACCACACUCAGUCUAAUGUCAAGAUUUUAAAAUGUCAAUAUUUAAAAUAUAUAAUAUACAAAAUUUAUAAUACACAAUAAUUAUAAUAGACUACUUUGUUGAUUCUAAGAAGGACAUUAAUAAAAAAGGAUAAGUAUGACACAUUGCUUUUCUUAUUUUGUUUUAAAAAAUGCUACUUUUAAAAAUACAUAUUUUGUUUUGGACGUAAGUAUAUAUUAUAACCAGAGAAGAAUAUAAUAUUUUGCAGCUUUAGAUGCCUUGUGACAUCAUUAUAGUCUGUCCCUUCUUUACAAUUCCAAAAUACAAGAAUUCUGAACACUAAAUUUUUCAUAAAUUUAGUGUAUGCUUAUUGGGCAGCAGAAUCUACCAGAAAUGAUGUGAAGUUAAUUCGCUUAAUGUGAAUAUAUUUUUUACUGCAAAUAUAUUCACUAUGUUUGAUUAGAGAGUGCUGCCUCAGACCCUGAUGGAAUAUUACAUGCAUGAUGAAAGGCAGCAAGUUUUUUAAAAAAAUGUCUGAAACAUUUUUAACAUAUGACCUCAAGGGUUUCAGGUAAGAUGUUCUCACUUGUAAGUGGGAGCUAAGCUAUGAGGACGAAAAGUCAUAAGAAUGAUAUAAUGGACUUUGAGAACUUUGGGGUACGGUGGAAGGGAAAUGAGGGACAAAAUACUAUACACUGAGUACAGUGUACAAUGCCUGGGUGAAGGUGCACCAAAAUCUCAGAAAUCACCAUGAAAGAACUUAUCCAGUUAACCAAAAGCCACCUGUUCCCCCCAAACUACUGAAUUUUAAAAAAUUUUUGGCUGGUCACGGUGGCUCAUGCCUGUAAUCCCAGCACUUUGGGUGGCCAAGGUGGGCAGAUCACGAAGUCAGGAGUUCGAGACCAGCCUGGUCAACAUGGUGAAACCCCGUCUCUACUAAAAAUACAAAAAUUAGCCGGGCGUGGUGGUGGGUGCCUGUAAUCCCAGCUACUCGGAAGGCUGAGGCAGGAGAAUUGUUUGAACCCGGAAGGCAGAGGUUGCAGUGAGCUGAGAUCGUGCCACUGCACUCCAGUCUGGGCAACAGGGCAAGACUCCAUCUCAAAAACAAAAAGCAAGCAGACAAAAAUUUUUUGUUAAAGUUUCAGGUAAGGGUUUGUGAACCUGUAGUCAUAUAUUUUAUUUAAUUUAGCUGUACAAAAUUGACAUGGUGUAUUUUUAACCCAUUUAUUGCAUUACUUACUUUGCAGUUGGCAGUCUGGUCUCUGUUGAGUUAACAAAAUGGAAUAUAGUAUAAAGCAAAUAAGCACCACAUUCAUAUAGCUGAGGCCCACAGAAGCAGAAAGAACUAUGCUAAUAAGUAAAAAUACCAGGAUCUUUAAAUGGAACUCGGCUAACACAUGAUAACUUUUUUUUUUGGUAUUAAACUUAUUUUGUCUAAAAUAUAAUCAAAUCCUAAAAGCUUGCAUUAUUAUUAGACCCAUUUCCAUCUAGAAAUAGCGACUGAUUGAUGAAAUCACUAAACAAACUCCAUGCUGGAAAUCUUAAUCAUUUGAGUUAUUUCUUAAACCCCUCUUUGCUUCAAAUACCUUAUAUUCCCCAAGCCCUACAGUCCCUCCUUUGAAUAAUAUAAAUGGGACCUUUAUGCCUUAAGUAAACAAUGAAACAUGCUUUGUCUUUUAGAAAAACAUUCUGCAGAAAUUUUCCAAA